rnacentral:snoRNA from 1 species
CCAAAGUGGGUAUCCAGAGAAGUUGCUCUCUUUGGCUCUGUCUGUGUGGUGUGUGGGAGCGUAGUGCCUACAAGUACAGUGACAUAUAGUCCUAUUCCACUACGCUGAAUAUUAUGUUUAUUCCCAGCCGUUGGGCUGGUGAGGACUCCAUCCUGUAUAUUCCUAGACCUUCUCAGCAUCUUUGUAAACCACCCCACAGAGCAAUUCACUUGAGUACUUAAAGUGAACCUAU